rfam:TPA: Bos taurus chromosome 19, whole genome shotgun sequence.
UCCCCGGUGGCUCAGAGAGUAAAGAAUCUGCCUGCAAUGCAGGAGACCCGGGUUUGAUUCCUGGAUUGGGAA